rnacentral:rRNA from 1 species
UGGGGAAUCUUGCGCAAUGGGCGAAAGCCUGACGCAGCAACGCCGCGUGCGGGAUGAAGGCCUUCGGGUUGUAAACCGCUUUCAGCAGGGACGAAUCUGACUGUACCUGCAGAAGAAGCCCCGGCUAACUACGUGCCAGCAGCCGCGGUAAUACGUAGGGGGCAAGCGUUAUCCGGAUUCAUUGGGCGUAAAGCGCGCGUAGGCGGCUUGUUAAGUCAGGUGUGAAAACCGGGGGCUCAACCCGCGGCCUGCACCUGAAACUGGCAGGCUUGAGUCUGGUAGAGGGAAAUGGAAUUCCGAGUGUAGCGGUGAAAUGCGCAGAUAUUCGGAAGAACACCAGUGGCGAAGGCGGUUUCCUGGGCCACGACUGACGCUGAGGCGCGAAAGCUAGGGGAGCGAACA